UACGUACGAGGCGAGCGUUAUCCGGAAUUACUGGGCGUAAAGCGCGCGCAGGUGGCCAAAUUAAGUCCGCUGUGAAAUCUCCCGGCCCAACUGGGAGGGGCCAGUGGAUACUGGAUGGCUUGAGGGCAGCAGAGGUCGGUGGAAUUCCUGGUGUAGUGGUGAAAUGCGUAGAGAUCAGGAGGAACACCGGUGGCGAAGGCGGCCGACUGGGCUGCCACUGACGCUGAGGCGCGAAAGCUCGGGGAGCGAACGGG
rnacentral:rRNA from 1 species